rnacentral:rRNA from 1 species
UACGUAGGGGGGCAAGCGUUGUCCGGAAUCAUUGGGCGUAAAGCGCGUGUAGGCGGCUCGGUAAGUCCGCUCUGAAAGUCCAGGGCUCAACCCUGGGAUGCGGGUGGAUACUGCCGGGCUCGAGUCCGGAAGAGGCGAGUGGAAUUCCCGGUGUAGCGGUGAAAUGCGCAGAUAUCGGGAGGAACACCAAUGGCGAAGGCAGCUCGCUGGGACGUGACUGACGCUGAGGAGCGAAAGCGUGGGUAGCAAACAGG